GAUGAACGCUGGCGGCGUGCCUAAUACAUGCAAGUCGAGCGAACAGACGAGGAGCUUGCUCCUCUGACGUUAGCGGCGGACGGGUGAGUAACACGUGGAUAACCUACCUAUAAGACUGGGAUAACUUCGGGAAACCGGAGCUAAUACCGGAUAAUAUAUUGAACCGCAUGGUUCAAUAGUGAAAGACGGUUUUGCUGUCACUUAUAGAUGGAUCCGCGCCGCAUUAGCUAGUUGGUAAGGUAACGGCUUACCAAGGCAACGAUGCGUAGCCGACCUGAGAGGGUGACCGCCCCACCGGGACCGGGGACACGUUCAAGCCUCCUACGGGGGGCAGCAGAGGGAAAUCUUCCGAAAUGGGCGAAAGCCUGAGGGAGCAACGCCGGGGAGGUGAUGAAGUUCUUCGGUUGGUAAACCUCUGUUAUUGGGGAAAAACAAAUGGGUAAGUAACAAUGCACGUUUGGACGGAACCUAUCCAGAAGGCCACGGCAACCUCCUU
rnacentral:rRNA from 1 species